UACGAAGGGGGCUAGCGUUGCUCGGAAUCACUGGGCGUAAAGGGUGCGUAGGCGGGUCUUAAGUCAGGGGUGAAAUCCUGGAGCUCAACUCCAGAACUGCCCUUGAUACUGAGGAGCUCGAGUCCGGAAGAGGUGAGUGGAACUGCGAGUGUAGAGGUGAAAUUCGUAGAUAUUCGCAAGAACACCAGUGGCGAAGGCGGCUCACUGGUCCGGUACUGACGCUGAGGUGCGAAAGCGUGGGG
rnacentral:rRNA from 1 species